rnacentral:rRNA from 1 species
GUGUCAGCCGCCGCGGUAAUACGUAGGUGGCGAGCGUUAUCCGGAAUUACUGGGCGUAAAGCGCACGCAGGCGGCUCUUUAAGUCUGACGUGAAAGCUCCUGGCUUAACUGGGAGAGGACGUUGGAAACUGAAGGGCUUGAGGCGAUGAGAGGGGUGCGGAAUUCCCGGUGUAGUGGUGGAAUGCGUAGAUAUCGGGAGGAACACCAGUGGCGAAAGCGGCACCCUGGCAUUGACCUGACGCUCAGGUGCGAAAGCGUGGGGAGCGAACGGGAUUAGAAACCCCGGUAGUCCAUGCUGUAAACGAUGUGCACUCGAUGUUCGUGUCACACUGUGGCAUGAGUGUCUAAGCAAACGCGGUAAGUGCACCGCCUGGGGAGUACGGUCGCAAGGCUAAAACUUAAAUGAAUUGGCGGGG